rnacentral:rRNA from 1 species
GAUGAACGCUGGCGGCGUGCCUAAUACAUGUAAGUCGAGCGAUGCGGGGACGGGUGUGUAACACGUGGAUAACCUCCUAUCAGACUGGGAUAACUUCGGGUAACCGGAGCUAAACCGGGUACUUAUAGAUGGAUCCGCGCUGCAUUAGCUAGUUUGUAAGGUAACGGCUUACCAAGGACACGAUGCAUAGCCGACCUGAGAGGGUGAUGGGCCACACUGGAACUGAGCCACGGUCCAGAUUCCUAGGGGAGGCAGUAGUAGAGAGUCGGCGGCAAUGGGCGAAAGCCUGACGGAACGACACCGCGUGAGUGAUGAAGGUCUUCGGAUAGUAAAGCUCUGUUAUUAGAGAAGCGGUACCUAAACAGAAGCCCACGGCUAACUACGUGCCAGCAGCCGCGGUAAUAC